rnacentral:rRNA from 1 species
UACGUAGGGUGCAAGCGUUGUCCGGAAUUAUUGGGCGUAAAGAGCUCGUAGGCGGUCUGUCGCGUCGAAUGUGAAAACCCGGGGCUCAACCCCGGGCCUGCAUUCGAUACGGGGCAGACUAGAGUUCGGUAGGGGAGUCUGGAAUUCCUGGUGUAGCGGUGAAAUGCGCAGAUAUCAGGAGGAACACCGGUGGCGAAGGCGGGACUCUGGGCCGAUACUGACGCUGAGGAGCGAAAGCGUGGGGAGCGAACAGG